rnacentral:rRNA from 1 species
ACAUGCCUACAACAUAGUGUUAAUGCACUGAAUCCCAUUAUAACUCCACAAUUAAGCACGCUCAGACUAGAGUAGUACUGGGAUGGUUGGCCACCCGAGAAGUCCUAGUGUUUUACAUGCC